rnacentral:rRNA from 1 species
AAUGAACGUUGGCGGCGUGGAUUAGGCAUGCAAGUCGUGCGGAAAGGCUCCUUCGGGAGCACUCAAGCGGCGUAAGGGAGAGUAACGCGUGGAUACCUACCCCCUGGACUGGGAUAGCGGCGGGAAACUGACGGUAAUACCAGACAAUGUCUGCGGACCAAAGGCGUGAUUCCGCCGGGGGAUGAGUUCGCGUCCUAUUAGCCAGUUGGUAGGGUAAUGGCCUACUAAGGCAAAGAUGGGUAUCGGGUGUGAGAGCAUGGCCCGGCUCACUGGGACUGAGACACUGCCCAGACACCUACGGGUGGCUGCAGUCGAGAAUCUUCGGCAAUGGGCGCAAGCCUGACCGAGCGACGCCGCGUGCGGGAUGAAGGCCUUCGGGUUGUAAACCGCUGUCAGAGGGGAGGAAAUGCAUGGGAGUUCUCUCUCAUGUUUGACCUAUCCUCAGAGGAAGUAUGGGCUAAGUUCGUGCCAGCCGCCGCGGUAA